rnacentral:rRNA from 1 species
UACGAAGGGUGCAAGCGUUACUCGGAAUUACUGGGCGUAAAGCGUGCGUAGGUGGUUCGUUAAGUCUGAUGUGAAAGCCCUGGGCUCAACCUGGGAAUUGCAUUGGAUACUGGCGGGCUGGAGUACGGUAGAGGGUGGCGGAAUUCCUGGUGUAGCAGUGAAAUGCGUAGAUAUCAGGAGGAACAUCCGUGGCGAAGGCGGCCACCUUGACCAGUACUGACACUGAGGCACGAAAGCGUGGGGAGCAAACAGGAUUAGAUACCCU